UUUUAGUGGCGGACGGGUGAGUAACGCGUGGGUAACCUGCCUCACACUGGGGGAUAACACUUAGAAAUAGGUGCUAAUACCGCAUAAGCGCACGGGACUGCACGGUCUUGUGUGAAAAACUCCGGUGGUGUGAGAUGGACCCGCGUCUGAUUAGCUGGUUGGCGGGGUAACGGCCCACCAAGGCGACGAUCAGUAGCCGGCCUGAGAGGGUGGACGGCCACAUUGGGACUGAGACACGGCCCAAACUCCUACGGAAGGCAGCAG
rnacentral:rRNA from 1 species